rnacentral:lncRNA from 1 species
AUUCUUUUUAGGCUGGGAGGAAUCUGGUAUUUUGCAAAGUGCGAAAGAGAAUCGCAGCCCUUAAUCUCUAUGACUUGGAGACAAGGUGGCAGACCAACAUCCGGAAAAGAAACAAGACUUGAACAUUUACUUAUGUGCAGCUCUUGAAGUGAUCUAAGGUGAUGCAAUCUUUCUGGUACCUUCACAAGGCUUCCACACUUGCUUAAUUCCAGACAUUCAAUAUUGCAAUCCAGGAUUUGCAAUUGCACCAACUGUUCUACUUCAAUCCCUAGCUUUUCAACAAGGAUCGAGUUGUCUUCGAUAUACAGACGACCAAGAGAAAUCAAGUGUUGCAGUAAUCUAUCCUCGUUUUGAAAGCAACAUGUAAGCUCCUCACAACGAGUGAUCUUCAACUCUUUAACAUUUUUCAAGCUUUUCAUGAACGCCUCUGUUUGGAAUCUCAAUUCUGAUACAUUUGAAAAUGUCAAACUCUCUAGUAAGUCAAACCGAACCGUACUUGUGUCGUACACCACCAUCUUGCACUUUUCAAUGAUUGAUCCAUGAAGCUGUCUGUAUUUGGAUACUGAAACAACCAAUUCCUCACAUCCAUAUAUCCUAAGCUGUGCUAAUGAAUCAAGAUUCUCUGGUAAAUCACCCUCUAAUUUGGGGCAGCCCCUGAUGGAAAGCCUUUUCAGGCAAGAGAAAACUUCAACCCCCUCACUUUGUUGGCAAGGAUACCAAUUCUUCCAAUUUUUCAGAUUCCAAAACUCAAGGGUCUCUAAAGCUUGAAACGACAAGUCACCUUCUCCAUAAAACUCAACACCAACACUCUCCACUGCAUCCAUUUCUUGUAUACAAAGUUCUUUGAGACAAGGCAACUGUCCGAAUGGUGGCAAGAAUUGACAAUGAUUACAACCUUCUAACUUUACCCGCACCAUUUUAGUGAAUGAAGGAUUCCCAAUCCAUGUUGAAAAUUUCAAUCCACCAUAACCUUUGAUGGUGAGCUCUUUGAGCUUGCUAUGAGGUUGUAACAUGUCAAGCACAAUUGCUGCAUCUUCUGUUGAGACAGUCGAAGAAGACCAUUCAAGAAAUAGGGCUUCAAGCCUUUCCUUGCUCUUUAAGUUGGCACUCCUGGCAUCCUCGACACGAAUCACAUUUUCUAGUCUUGAGAUGUGCAAUGUCCCUUGCAGAUGCAAUAAUGACUCAAUCUCUCUUACUCCUGAUCCACUACCUUUGCCAAUAACAAACUCAGGCAAUGUUUGGAGGUUAGUCAAUUGACCGAGCUGAGGAGGCAUUUCUUCCAACGAAGAUGUCUCUGAAUUGUUGAGAUGACGCAAAUUAACUAGGUUCCUCAUGCUUGUGGGCAGUGCCUUCAACUGGUGACAACUUUCCAAUAACAAUGUCUGCAAGUUGUACAGAGUUGUUGUCGAGUCUGGCAAACUUCUUAUCCCAGUGUGGGAGAGAUCAAGAUACCGUAGAUGCUUCAAUUCACCAAUUGUAUCUGGCAACUCGAUUAUUUCAUAACUUUUCAAAGAGAGGAGUCGUAAGUAUUGGAGUUUGGGCAAUAAAUCAGAAGUAACCUUCUGAGCCAGAUAAUGAUCAUAUGAAGGUGAAAGUGGUAAGAACGUUCGCAAAGAUGUAGCUUCAGAAUAGACCUCGAACUUCUUAACCCCAUCAUACUUUCCAAGAAUGUAAGACGAAUGACGAACCUUGGGCAAACAUGUACGUUGCUGCGAGUCAUAAUUCUGCAUAUCCUCCAAUCUACAACAUGAACUUCCUGCAGCCCAACGUGCCAAAUCAGUAACCAGGUCAUGCAUUAUGUAUCGCGACUCUGUUUUGCUUGAUUUUUGAAAUAAUGAUCUAGACACCAACUCUUGAAAAUAGUCACGUCCCAAAUCUUCCAUUUGCUUAUGUUCUUUGGGUUGCUGCGGAAUCAAACCUUCCGCCAUCCACCAAAGGAUCAAUUGCAUCUCCUCAAAUUCAUAAUCAUUCGGAAGUAUUCCACAGUAGGAGAAACACCGUUUCAAAGUUGAAGGGAGAUAAUGAUAGCUCAGUUUUAAUGCUGGACGGAUAUCCUCCAUCUUGUUCUGGUCUGAGUCUGAUAGUGUCCACAUCUUGUGGUCUAAUAUGUCUUCCCAUUCCUCUAGUCUUUUCCAACGUAAAAGCCCACCAAGUGUCCUUGCAGCUAACGGUAACCCAUUGCAUUUUUCUACAAUUUUCUCUUUAAGGAACUCAACAUCUUCGGGUCUGUUUUUUAACUGUGCAUGGUGCUGAAAGAGUUCCCAACAUUUAUCUGUUGACAUCGGGUUCAAGUUAUAAGGGCUCCUAUCUCCCAUCAUAUUUGCGACAUUGGCGUCACGUGUUGUCACGAUGAUCUUACUUCCAGCUGCUCCAACACGAAAGGAGGCCUGCAGUGUAGUCCAUUGACCAUAGCUACAAGUGUGCCAGACAUCAUCAAGAACAAUUAAAAACUUCUUGCCAGCCAAUUCCUUACUCAACUUCUCCAGAAUUGAGUUAAGCUCCUUCAAUUCCUGAACUGGAGAGGACGUGACUGAUUCCAAAACGGCUGCUGCCACCCUUACAAUGUCAAAGUCGUCUGACACAGAUACCCAUCCUUUUGGGGAAAACUGGCCAGUUGCAGCAUCGUUGAAUACAUGUUUAGCAAGUGUUGUCUUUCCUAGUCCUCCAGUACCGACAAUACCAACCACAUGAUAAUUCUCUUGUUUUGAAAGCAAAUCAUAGAGAAUCUUAGCCUUUGCUUCAUCCCUUCCCAUCACAGGUCCAUCAAGUUGAUAAGUAGUGGGUGGCAUUUUCCAUGGCUUUUUAGACACUCCAAGUUUCUUCAAACCAAGCUGCUUCUCUCGAGUGGUUAUCUCCUCAAGUCGAUCACUUAUCUUCUUGAUUGCUGAGUUCAGACCAAAAUUGGACUUAACUUUAGAGAGUGAGCUCCAUAACUUGCUUUUGCUUCCUUGUUGUCUUUCUAUCCUCCGCUUCAGCAUUUUAGUAUCAAAUAUGUCCAAUACAUCUUGAAGAUCGUAAGACAAAUCUACUGAGAUCAUCCAGCCACUCUUUACUGCUCUUCGUGUUAGUUGCUUCUCCUCAGCAUCACUCAGCACCGCUUCAAUGGCCCUCAACGUUCUAGUCCAUUUCUCCAGCACCUUUUUGUCGACCCCCUUAAGGCGUCCGAAGUACUCAGUGAUCUCUUGAUCCGCCAACUUCUCAAGCAGCACCGGGAGGAAUGCACCAAGAACAGCCUCCCCCAUCGUUUCUUUUUUGUACAAUCGAUGUAUUCAAAACUGCAGAAAGUGAAGCUAGUAGUUAAUUAAGGUACAAUUAUAGUUGAUGCAUGCAUGCUAGAAAAUAAUUUAAACAAUGAAAUGGGUGUUAAAUCUGAUUCGUUUCCCUUAAUUUGCAAGAUCGGAAAACAUGCACUUACAUGAAAAGUUGAUUAUUUCUUCUGUGAGAUCACAACUAAAACACUUGCAACGUUAAUUCUUGCACAAGGUGAUCGGCCAAGUCUCUGAGAUCAUGAUCAUGACAGACUUUCUUGUUGCAGAUCGAUCUGAUUCCAGCUAUACUGCACAAAUUAGUAAGCGGAUCCAGUUUAAUUAGUUCAUAAUGAUAAUCCAACAUGAAUAUAACUGAUUAACAAAAUGAAAUUAGUAACGGAUUCAAGAAGAGCUAGCUUACAUGGAUCAAAGGAUAUCUGAGUCCAAAAUCAAGAAGCCCUUUCUUCUUUAGAUGAAUAAUGCAUACAGUGCGGUGUGUAUAGAUCAAGUAUGAAUGGAUAGAAGCUCCUCUGGCGAAAAGUCUAGAUAUGAAAGCCACUUGCACUUUCCUAAAAGUCGAUGAAACAAAGGUGAGCCACACAACAGGAACGACGAGAAAAGGCAAUGGAACACAAAGGUUUCACCCUGCCGACGCCGAAGUUACUAAUGUUUGUGUUCUACUGUGACUGUUGAUACUUGCUGUACAUGCAUCUAAUGUUUUCAUCUGUUUUUUCUGUUUUUUUGUUCUACUGGAUAGGGUAAAACUAUUUUUUUGUUCUACUUGUUAUAGAACAGACGACGACUAUGUUUUGUGAGACUAAUUACGCUUAUGGUACCAAUUCAUCAACGAAGAUGCGUUUUUGGCAAUAAAACAUAUUUGGACCACCGUUUUUUGGUGAAUUUGAAUAAUAUUAUUGGAUAGUCUUCACAGAGAUGGGCUCAUGGGCAAUAUCAUUCAAAACCAUACAAUUAUUCGAAAAUUUGAAAUACAAAUUCGACGCUCUACAAUAUAUGCAGGUUGAGCACAGGGCUCAAAACAGGCACAACAUUGGAAUGCCACCACCAUGGAACUACUCAAUCGUCAAGAGAGUUUUACAUAUACAUUUGUACCUAAAUGAGAGCUGGGAAUUGGUUGCAGAACCAACUAGCACAUGUAGUAGACAAACAAGAAGUUUCUCAUACAUACGUUGAAGAUAGAUAAGCCCUCACAAGAAAGGAUCAUUCACCAUGAUAAAGUAAAACAUCUGAACCAAAAGAGAAAAGUUCAACAAAUUAGAACAAGUUAUACUUGAUAUGAUAGCAAAGAAGCGACUUGUGUUCAACGCAAAGCUACAAUUGAAAUGAGCAUGGAAACAUGGAAAGAAAACAGUAGAAAUGGCCAUUUAGUAAAGGGAUUGGAGACGUACCAGCAUCACUUGUUUUGUUUAGCAACGGUCCUUUGAACAGUUGAAACUCCAUCCACAAACUUUGUCCGGAAAAGGACAUUAGCAUUAUUGAACAUGCCUUCUUUCAGUGAAACCACAAUGAACUGAAAAAAAUGUGAUAAACAAGAAAAUGGGUAAGUAGAUGUCGCAUAUUAUCUUUAUAAGUUAUGCCGCAAUCUGCUCUUUUGUAGAAUGAGGUUUGAAUUACAAACUCCAGAAUACCAGACUCUACAAACAGCCAAGGGACGACGAUCAGUCAAAGAGCAGUGAAUAUACCAGAUCACAACUAUGCCUAAAACGCUUUCUGAACUUUUUGGGAUUUGUAAAAGUCAGAUAGCAUUACUUAUUUACUUGCACAAUGAAGGAAAAGAAGUUGUAUGGAUUACUGGAGGAGAAGAUGGCACAUGUCAGAAGAAGAUUCCAGCUAGGUAAAAUGUAAAUAACCAGAUGGCAGAAUCCACCGACCUGGGAGUGUGGGAAAUGACUUUUGAUCAUUCUUCCAAUAUUCUGGGUGUGACUUAGAUCAAGAGCUGCAUCAACCUGCAAGUGAAUAACAAGAUGCUGAAAACUGUUUCAUCUUAACAACCAGAGAUCAAUACAAUAUAAUGCAACCCACAUUAAAGCUUUGCAGAGUCUACAGAUGCUACAAGUAUCCCACUAGAUUACUCCAAAAAGAAAAAAAAGUAAAACUUUGAAUGACAACUUCCACAGGUGGAGUAGCGAUGUCAAACAAAGAAACGACACAAAAAAAAAGAAGCUAAAACCCAGGUAAAUAAGAAACGAGCCGUCCAUUAAACACAUAGGAACAACAGAGCACCAAUGUUGUAGAAAUGUUUUGGUAGAGAAUCCACAGCAGAAUCUUAUAGUUUAGAAUUUCUAAACCCAAAUUGCACCCAGUUCAGUGAAAAAAGUCAAUAAACCCUAAAAGAAAAGUUAAGCAUACCUCAUCCAGUAUAUACAGAGGAGCUGGUUUGAAGAGAAGCAAUGCCAAGAUCAGAGAAAGUGCCAGCAGGGAUCGCUGACCUCCACUCAGUUCUGACAAAGACUGUUUCCAAUCACCCCCAAAUGCAACACACACCUCAAGGCCAUCUAGGAAACUACACCCUUCAGGAGGUUCAAGCUUUCCCAUUGUGCCGGGUAAAAGGGUAGAAAAGAUAGACCGUAAGUCUCUGAAGGAAGAAUUUUUUUAUCAGUUUCAGUUUGGAGUCAAAAAUAAAUAGCAUUGGAAGUAUAGAGAAGUUGCUGAAAAUCACAAAGUCAACUGAGAAUGACUCACUUGUUAACUUUGACCCAAGUAACAUUCAAUGUUUCCUUCUUUUUCUCAUCCAGCUCUUCAAUCACCAUCUUGAUCUUAGACUUGUCAUUCUAAGAAGGAAUUCUAGAAGUAAAAGAAAAGGAAAACAGCUCACAGACAGAUCAAGGUUCACCAACCUCAAUGAUGUUCUUCUUAGACAUUAGGUCAUUGUACUCGUCUUCUGCUUUCUCAAACAUUGCCAUAACUUUCUUAUUCACCCUUUUCUCAAGGCUACAAAAGGUAUAAAAAAAAAGUCAUCUCUCAGCCUCAUGGAAGGAACUAAUAACAAACUUCACAACAUAUCAAUUACGGAGGGAGCAUCUUAGUUAAACAACUCCCGUGCAGUUUAUUUUCCAUAACAACGUUAUGUAAAUUGGAUUUAAAACCAUAAGACUUCAUGAAAUUCAUAACUAAGUUUAUUUUAUGUUUGUUUUAUAUAUAAGGAUGGCGAACAUAGAAAUUCUUUUACGAAUUACAUUUAUAAUAGUAUGAGAUCCAAAAUUCGAUAGGUGAUUUAAGCAGGCCAGCCAAAUGAUUCACAAGAACCACUAUCUAACAACAAACUUCAUCAAACAAGUUGUUUCAGAUAAAGGAAGCUCAAUCAGACCAAAAAGAAAAAAAAAACUCAAUUAGAUGCCACGGACGAUAGUUCAAUUAAAUCUCAGCAAUAAUAAAACAUACCUUGAGAUCCUUUGAAGCUGACUGGAGUAGAGCUUUUGUCUCUUUGAUCUUCUUUUCCAAAUCUUUCAGCCUUCCCUCCCGACUGUUGUCGUGCUCUUUGAUUGAUUUCUCAAGAAAUGACACUUUAUUCACACAAUCUUCAUGCAAAAGUUUCUUUUCUUUGGCUGCAGUAUUAGCUUCUUGUAGCUCUUGCUCAAUCCUCUUUACUAAUUCACCAAGCUAGAUAGCAGAAUAAAAAAUUAGGAAAAAUUCCCAUCUGCCCUAAUUUUAAAAAAAAAUUUCCCGCUAAUAAAAUAAGAAUCUAAAAUUCCCACUAACCAUAACACUUCUAAUGAUUUAUUCCCUCUAACAAAAUUUUCAGCUUUUCUAUUAUUUUUAUUGACAAAACUGACCUCCCCUCCAUUCUCUCAUCUCUCUCUCUCCCCCCCUCCCCACCGUGCUUGUGCUUCGCCAGAGCCUUCUUCCCGGUGCGAAUUCACUACAACGCCGCCUCUACCGGCUCUCCCUCCAUAUCUCCUCCACCGCCACCACCUCUCAACAGCUCCUCCCUCCACUCUCCAACCAUCGCCGUCAAACAUAUCGAAAUCACCACUCUCGAAAAUCUCUGUGUGGAGAUCGUCUUCAAAGUUGAUCACCUAACGCCGGUAUGGAUCUAACGACAGUGGUGGAUCUGACGACGUCGAGAUCUGAUCGUGCUCCGAUCCGCUCCGCCGUUGUCACCGUCUCUUGCCGUAAAUCUCAGAUCCUUCCAGGCAUGGACUUCUGAUUGAAAACGCUCUUAACGAGGUGAGUAGAGAGUGAGGUGAAUUGGUUUUCAGUGCCACUUCGAUUCUGUGUUUGAGAAAAUGUGAUGGAAUUGUUAAAUCUUGUGGUUUAGUAGUAUUUUCGGCCUGAAAUGAGGGUUAGAUUUUCAAUUUUGAGUGGUGGAUUAGUGUAGAACGGAUCGGUUAUUGUUUGUAGGGAUAUUGUUUGAAGCAUGUUUAGGUUAGAUCAACCUGAAAUGGUAGAUUUUUGUGACUGGAAAUGGUUGUGACGGAGGGAUGCUCUUCAUGGAGGAGUCUGGGUGGUGGGUUCACUGCUCCAAUUUGAAGAACGACCAUUAUUUUUGGGGUUGUUGAACUUGAAGCAUUUAUGGAAGAGGGUCGUUUAUGCAUCAAAAAGAGAUCAUGGAUCUCUCACAUGGGAGUCGUAUUUGUAGUAUUUAUUGAUGGAUUUCUUAGGGAAAAUGGAGGAUUUCAUUUCAUGCAUAUAUAAUAUAUGGCACUAUGGCAGAUAACCACCAAGACACUAAGCGUGGAAUAUUGCUUUAUGGUCUUUGAGCCUUUGUCUAUGUAGACACAGACUUCUAAUUCACCAUUUGUCCUAGUAUUUUAGGGUAUAUGCAUGUAUGGUGUAACAUGCAAGUUUUGUUUUACUUUGUUUAAGACCAUAAUAGUUGAUUUUUAGUACACGACUUCAAGAAUACAUGAAUUAUUCUUUGCAUAGUUGAAUGUAUUAUAUAUUGAUUGUGAUAGUAGUUUAUAAAUUGCGAUAGAUCGACUUCCUAUUGUCUUUAUACAUGGCGAUAGACUUCCAAUUGUCUCUAGUAGACUAUGUACUACCCCCAAUAGGAGGUCCUAUUGCCCCCAAUAGGUGGUCCUAUUGCCCCCAAUAGGUGGUCCUAUUACCCCCACUAUGAGAUCCUACUGACCCUAGUAGGAGGUCAUACUGACCCAAUAGGUGGUCCUACUGCCCCCAUUAGGAGGUCUUACUGCCCCUAGUAGACCCUAGACGAACCCCCUACUGCUCCUAAUAGACCCCCGAAGAACCCCCUACUGCCCCUAAUAGACCCCCCGAUGAACCCCCUACUACCCCCAGUAGGAGGUCCUAAUGACCCCAAUAGAUGGUCCUACUGCCCCAGUAGGAGGUCCUAGUGGAGGAAUAUUAUGUUCUUUAUGUAUGUCCUAUUGUCCUUUAAUUAGGGUGUGAAGAGUCACUUGUUUUGGUGUAGAUUUGGAUAGAAGUUAUCUUCUCAGUCUUACAUCUUAUAGAAUAUUAUAGACUUCACUUCUUCCAUUUCAAAACUUUUCUUAAUACAUGUAUACCUUAUAUCUUAAGUUUAAGGAUCCUACUGCCCCCAGUAGGAAGUCAUACUGCCACUACUAACCUACUGACCCUAGUAAGAGGUCCUACUGAUCCUAGUAGGACCAGUAAGAGGUCAUAUUGCCCUAAGUAGGAUGUUGUAUUGCCCCCAAUAGGAGGUCUUACUACCCCAAUAGGUGGUCAUACUGCCCUCAGUAGGAGGUCCUAAUGACCCUAAUAGGUGGCCAUAUUGCCCCCAAUAGGGACAUAUUAUAAGUGACUAAAGCACAACGACCCCUGGAGUCCGGUCAACGGUCGUCGGAGCCCGGUCAACCACCCUCGGAACCUAGUCAAUGGUCCCCGAAGCCCGGUCAACGGUCCUCAGAGUCUGAUCAAAAAUUGUCGGAGUCCCGUCAACAUCAUUGGUCGUGGGAAUCCGGUUAUAAAAACUUUAUUUUAUAAUAGACUAUUAUAAUGGUCUAUUGUAGUUUAUUUAAUUCAUUAAGGGUAUAAUUAUCUUUUUGUUCUUAUAAUGGUCUAUUGUAGUUUAUUUAAUUCAUUAAGGGUAUAAUUAUCUUUCUGCUCUUAUAAUGGUCUAUUGUAGUUUAUUUAAUUCAUUAAGGGUAUAUUUGUCUUUCAGCUAUUUAAGUUGACUCUUGGGAAUUUUAAAAUCUGAUUUUGUUAGUGGGAAUAAAAUUCUUAAAAUUAGGGCUAGUGGACAUUGUCCAAAAAAAUUAAGAUUCAUGUCAUAAAUCCAGUAAACACAGUCCGCAGCAUAGUUCUGAACUGAAUAUGCUAAAAGAGAAAAGAAAUGUGACAAAACCUUAUGAUGCUCAUUUUGUUCAGCCCUGCCCUGAAAUAAUUUAAGGUCAUAUGAUUUGAGUUCUAACUAUUGUUUAAGCUCCAUGAACUUCUUGUGAAGAGGCUGAAUUUCUCUUAUCUGCAAAUAGAAAUACAUUAAUGAAAUUGCUAUGGAAAUGAAGUUCCCAAUGACAUAUAAAACAGCCACACUAUGAUUUUUCAAUUGCAUAUAGUGUAAUAUGGAAUUUCAGUAUCGUAUUGAGAGAAAAUAAGAUUUCAUAGGCAACCUUAGCUUCAAUCUCAGUCAACUUUUUCUGAUGCUCAGAGAGUUUUAGCUCAGCUUCAGCCAGCUCAUGACGCUGCCUUAACAGAUCACCCCCACCCCUGUGACAGGAAAUUAUUGCUUUAGAAGGAAAACUAGCUAGAUGUAUAUGUACUUUGAAUUGAUAAAUGAUAAGGACAACACAAGUACGGAAAAUUAGUCAGAGAAAUCUAACAACAGAUAUAUUCUAGACGAAGGGAGAUAAAGCAUGAAAUCUGAACUGGAGGAAAAAGAACAGUGGCAUACUUGCGGCUUCCACCAGUCAAAAGACCACUGGGCUGAAAGAUAUCACCUUCAAGAGUGACACUAGGGGUACGAACUUCCCUGUUAAAAGCAACCUAGGAAACAUUCAUAGAGAAUCAGAUUGGGUCAUGCCGCUUUCCAGUUUAGAAUACAAGUGUUUAAAAGGACAAUACUAUAUAAUCAGCCAACAGCACGAUCAAAUCCACCUCUCACCUCCUUUGCAGCAUCAAUAGUCUUGCACACAAAGGUUGAACCGAAGACAUAUUCCAUAGCACUCUGCAGUAAACAUUAAAUGGUAGGUAAAGUGAGCAAUUAUCAUAUUCCGGAGGUCUGUAAUUUGUUUAUGAUCGAAAGAUACCCUCAGGUGCUCAUCAUAGCCAACCAAAGAAAGUGCAAGUUCUGCGUUUUCUCUGCCAACCUGAUCAUAGAAAUCAAGGUUAUUAGUAUAAUAAGCCACACCAUUGGGAGGAAAGAAAAGCCUAAAACGAGGUCGGGGCAGGACAAACUAUUGGCAAAAGAAACUAACCAAUUUAGCAGCAGCAUUUUGAACCCUAGGAGGAACUGUGUGAGCUUGAAUUUUGUUCAAGGGUAUGAUUGUUACUCUUCUUCGAAGAUUGCCAUUCUGAAGAAGUUGUUUUCCAGUACUUUCUGUGUCUACGACAACAUUAAACAACUUUCCACCAGCAGUGACCUAGAAAUCGAAGGUAUGCAAGUUAAUACACAUUCUAUAAGUCAUGAGAUGAAAUCAUUUGUGAUAAAUGCAUUUUCACCUCUAAGGCAGUCAUGGUGGAGCUAUCCUUCACUUUGAUAAGUUUUGCAACUACACCCUUGACCUUAGACCUAACAAAAUUGUUCACAGGAUCUCUAUAAGAAAAGUCAACAUUUCCAAAGUGUACUGAAAGAUUACGCAUUUAAUCCUUCAACUUCUGCACACACUCCAACUCAGAUGAUCGGUCCUGAAUAGAAUAUUCAUUUAGAGAAGGAUCCAAAUUAAGAGUUAUAAACUGUCUAGAUGUAAAAAGAAUGAUCAAACAGACAGCAUGUUAACCUUUUGCAAAGCUUCCAUCUGGCCCUCCUUAUAUGGAAGAGACUCCAGUGCCAAUUUAACAUUUUCAACAUCUGUUUUCCUAGCCUUCAGCUCACUCUCUACAGCAACAGCUUCUUCACGCUUUGACAUUAGUUGAGAACUUUUCUCUUUCAACUCCUUUUCACAGUGACGAAUUUUUGUUUUCAACUGUUCCAGUUCUGUUUCAGCACUCCCUACAGCUCUUUUGGCAUCACCCAAUUGAUAUUCGAGGCAUUUAUCCUCAUUUCCACUACUCUUGCCAGCGAUUACACCCUGGAAACAUUAAUGAAUCAAAAAUCAUAGUGAUUCCAAGAGUAACUCGCACACCAUGCAAGCCUAACAUGUGACUUAGAUGAACAAGGUAUAGGCAACACAUAGAUACACUAUCUACCUGGUACUGAGUCUCAUACUCAUUCAGACUAUGAGAAAGUUCCUCCGCUCUCUUUUUCAAAUCAGCAGCUCCUUCUUCGGCAUUUCUUAUAGCACAGUCCCUAUCUUUUAGAGAUUGUUUCAUGUCUUCAAUGUUGCUAGCGAUCUGACAACAGAGAGAGGCAAAUUCUAUGUUACCAUAACCAUUUCAGACAAAGCAUGUAGCAAAUGAUUACAUAACAGACUUGAAAGAGCUUGGUGUCAUACAAAAGAAAGCAGUAAGUAAUACAAUAUAUCAAUUACCAUUCUAGCAUUAUCAUUUUCAGUAUCAAGAUUGUCCUUCAUAUUAUCCAGUAUAGACACUUCCCUCACUACAUCUUGAGAAAGCGCAUCUACUUGGUUAGACAGAUUUUUCACUUCUCCACCCAUACUAGCCUCCUUUUCAGCAGUCAACUUGGACACUUGUGUUUCCAUUUCCUUUAUUGUUGCCUGCAUCUUUCUGGUAUCAUCAUCAACCUCAGAAAUUGGCCUUCACUUGUUCCACCUCAUAAACUGCACUGUCCCUUAUCCUCUCCGCUUGAACAUAUUCAUAAGCAAUGCAAAACCUCUUGAGCCGAUCCAAGUCAGCAUUGCCAUUAGCCCAUUGCAUAUACUGUGUCCUUUCUCUCCUCAACUUGUCCAAUGCAGGCAGUAUCUCAUGGUCCAGAAGCUUAUUUAUCUCAUCAACUUUACUCUGCUUCUUCUCAAGUGUCUUAAGAGCCGCUUCCUUUUUGGUCUCAUACAUUCUCGUCCCGGCAGCCUCUUCAAGCAUAGACAAAAUCUCGGGCGGUUUCAUAUUCAAAACCUUGGUAAUUCGGCCUAGCAUAAUCAAAAAAUGUGGAUUAUUCACAUUGAGCUGCACCGAAUGAAAAAGAUUCUGGACCUGACUCGGCUGCGCAAGUUUCCCGUUGAUCAAGUACUUGUUCCUCCCACCAACCACAAUCUGAUAUAGCAACACCAACGAAUUCGUAUCACACACUCAAUAAUCAGAUUCAUUGAUAGAUUCCGGUUGCAAUCAGAAGCGUUACAACCACUCCACUAAUACAGCAACUUAUAACUAAAUUCAACCUAAGAAAUAGUGAUAAAUUAAGCAAGAAACCCUAAAUCUCAACUACUUAUCGGCUUAACUAAACUCCGGUUGCGAUUAAUCUAACUUCUCGUAACAUCACUACAAUUAAUUACUUAAAUUCAACUUCAAAACAGUAAGAAACCCCCAAAUUCAACAUCAAAAACGACAUCAAAAUCUCACAAACGACACACCUGCCGCGUGACCGUGAGUUCCGAAUGGGCCUCAUACCCGAGGGGACUGCGCGCCCGGUCCGAAUUAUCGAAGACAAUCGACACAGUGGCCUUAGUAAUUCCUGCCUGGCCUUGCUUACACACCAGCUCCUGCAGAUUGGCGGCCCUCACUUGCUGUAAGUUGGUGAUGCCCAGAACGAAGCAAAUGGAAUCGAGAAUGUUGGACUUACCCGACCCGUUUAGCCGGUUAUGGCGUUGAAAAACGGGUCGAAUCCCGGCACCACCUGAUAUUUUACUCACUUAGUCAUGUGCCGCGCACGUGACCAGCCAAAUAGGUCUAUAUAUACUCCUCUCCUUUGAGAGCUUUUGCUCAGUUUCUGGGGCGAGGAUUUGUUUCUCCUUGCAAUGAGCCGUGCACUGGAAAACACUUUAGCGUUGCUUCAAUCCAAGAUGCAAAGUGUAUUGACAACACCACCACCGGGCCGCUACCAGCAGCGACCAUUGGAGCAGUCAUCAACUCCAAUUUCUGAUCCUAAAACUCAAAUUGAGAUUGUUCACUCUCAUCUCUGGAAGGCUCGAAGCAAGCAAGUCGCUCUCAAGUCGACUGCGGUCACCGGAGGAGUGAAGAAUAGACACCGAUCUAGGCUGGGAACCUACGAGUCCCUUACGACUGACACACACCCGAAGCGCAAGGUCUCUUUUCUACGCCUUGUGGCUGAAAUAGCUCAAGAUGUCAAGGUUGAUUGGAGGUCCCAGAGCUUAGUUAUGCCUUCUCUGCUAGGCAGCACUGUGUCGACUCAAGUGAACAACACUCAUGCAUCAUUUUGUUCAGUAAGCAAUACUGGAACUCUCAGUUUCGUGAAUAAUGGUUGUGGGUGCUGUUGAUUCUGUGUUUGUUGGGUCAAUUCCUGUUGGUGUUAGUGUUAGGCAUGAUAAUCAGGGACCAAAUUCGGGUGAGAAGGUGAGAGAAUGUCAUGCACUCCACCUGUUUGAUGAAAUGCUGCAUUCAAAUGAGUUGGGUAAUGUAGGAAGGACUGUUGCAGCUCUUACGAGUAUUCGAGAUAAAAGGUGGGGGACUUGCUCACCAACCUUUAGAAUAUGCACUUGGGGUGAAUCGUGCAAAAGAGAAUGAAGGUGUUGACAUGAAGGCUAAUCAACUUGAGGAUGGCAAUGCUAUAUCGGAGAUAGGUUUUAGCUCUCAACUUAUUCAAAGCAAUGAAUCACUUAAGAUUGUUUCCAGGGCAGAGGUUCCAAUUGAUGGGAUUGUAAUUACUGGUCAAAGCCAUGUGAAUGGGAGUAUGACCACACAUGAGGCAAGGGCCAUUUGUGAAAGAUUUGGUUACAGGAUAAUUGGUGGCACCAUGAGUGAUGGAUGCUUACAGGUUAAGGCAAUCCGUCUUUUUGAGGUUGAUAAAGAAAUUGAUGAAAAUGUGGGAUUAAGUCAGCCUCGAGUGAAGGGAGAGAUCAAAAUGAAAAUGAUGUUAAACAGGAUUUGAAGAUUUUCCAGUCAAGCUAUUUUAGUGGAGGCAUUGUAGUUUUUUCGAAUAUUCAUGAGCUGGAAAAUUAUUUUCAACUGGAUGCCUACAACAGCAAGUCCUUUUUAGGUCUUACGCCCCCUUGAAAGAGUUAUUAAACAGGUGUUGUGGAAGUGUGAAGGGUGAAUGGGAUAACUUACUUGCUGGUGGUUCAUCUGUUACAUUGCUCACCAAGGAUAUAUGUAAUGUUCUGUGGGUGAGUUCUGAUGCGCUAAAGCUAAUCCAAUAUGGGUUGAAAACUGCAGUUGUUUUUGUGAUGGAUAAACCACCUGAUAUUACGAGCGAAUUCUAAAAGGGUACUGGAGUUAAUAUUGGAGAAGUGGAAAUCAAGAGGUACUGUCGAAACAAUUAUUGGCUUGCAGUGUUGCUGUUGUGAGGCAGAGGAGAUUCUACUCUUUUGCAGGGAAGUGUUCAACGUAAUUGGUGAAAUGACUCAAACCACCUCAUUGUCCCAGGUAUCCGCUAUAAAUUUUCAAGAUGAUAGAAGAGAUUUUGUGAGUUUCUUGUGUGACAUGAUUAAGCUCUAUGUCGUGAUCUUUAGUGCUUUUAUUGAUAAUGCUGGAAGUUUGCUUCAUGCUGAUAUAUUCGAGAUAAAUGGAUCUAUUGCUAGCUCUCUUGUUGAUAUGUAUGCCCACUGUGGAGUAGAUAUAGAAGAGACUGUUUUUCACUUGAUGAUAUCCAGGGGUUUAGGGAAUAUGGGUCAGAUUAUUAGUUCAGUGGCUGACUCCUCAAAUAAGAACUCAUUUUCUGUUGAGGUUGUUGGGGUUUUUGCUUGGGAUGGUGAUCCAGGGUCUUCACACAUCAAAAGGGCCAAGGCUGAGAUGUCAACUAUUUGUGUUUUGGACUAUGAGAAUGGGUUUAGUGCAACAGAAGUGCCCCAGUUUGGCGGAAUUGAUUUUGGCCAAGGGUUUUCAAGUGAUGAAAUGCAUAAGUCUGGAUUCAUGUUAUAUGGGUUGGGGUCAAUGAAGAAUUUUGCUACUCCACAUGAAGUUAUUGCUGUCUCUUGGAAUGUUAAUUUGCUGGCAGCAUAUGUCAAGUCUGGAUGUAUAUAGUGGCCAUCAAUUGGGGCUGAUAACACAUAUGUCAUCUCAUUCUCAAAUGUGACUUCAUGGAAUCACAUAUUCUGUUGCUAUUUCCAGAAUGAGAUCAACAUGGAGGUAAAACAUAUAAUUAAUAGCAUACAAGAAGUUGUUGUUUGCUGGAACUAUAUGAUAGCAGGGAAUUCACUCAAUAUCAACAUGAGGUGAUUACCAUGCAAAUUUCCUAUGCUACUAUACUGCUGAGUUGCUGUGCAAAGCUUGCUUAUUCAUCUCCAGGGAAACAUGUUCAUGUCUGGUUACAUUUAACAAAAUUUGGAUAUGUGAAUGAUGCAUGCCUUAGUUGAGUUUCAUGAUCAAAUGUCCCCACGAUACAAGUCAAAGAUAAUGAAGUAUCUCAGAGAGCAUCUGAAAUCAUCAAGUGAGCUCUUACUUUCUCCUCGUGUGAUUCAACUCUCUUUGGUGGAAUCUACUUAUCAAAGUAAAUUGGUGAUGACUUUAUCCACUAGUUUAUUGGAUGAGCUUUACAACACAGGAAUUGGAUUCAGCCAUAGUGCAACAUCCAUGCUAGCAAUUGGAAAUGGUUCUAUGCUUGUGCUAUUGCAACUGGUUUGGUUGAUGUUAGAAAAACUUUUCAAGUGUGAGCACAAGGAAAAUGUAUUUACCAGUUUCGAGCUACUGUUGACUAACCAAUUUAUCAUAAAGGCUCUUGGGUUCCAGCAAAAGCUCUUUAUUCUUAUUGGUCUACUAGUGACAGAGAGUUUACCUUAUGAUCUAAUCGUGAUAUGGGGUGAUGAAUGGUUUUUGUCAGGAAAACACUAUUGUUUUCUUGGAUAUGUGAAUGAGGUGAACAACUGUUCAUUCAGGUUGCUUGACAAGCUCAAGGCUGAGCGUAAGUGUAAUAAAACCAUUGAUAUCACGCUGUGGAAUUUUGAGACCACCAAGUACUACACUGACUUGUUGCUCCCAGACAUCCUGAUUUCAUCAAGGACAUGAUUACUAGUACUUCCAAGGCUGAUAAUGCUAUCCUCAUCAUUGACUCCACCACUGGGGGUUUGGAAGCUGAUAUCUCGAAGGAUGGGUUAGCCUGCGAGUACACUCUGUUCACUUUCACUCUUGGUGACAAGCAGAUGAUCUAUUGCUGCAACAAGACUUCAUGGGAUGCCAUACUCUCUUGCAGGUGGUUAUUUGAGCUCCAAUUAUCCAGCAGGGUACUUCUCUUAUGCUCAUAUGAUUCUUUCCAAAUACACAUCAUGGAACCGUUGCUGCAACAUGCUUCAGUUUUUUCCUGAUAACUUGUGGGGCGGUAUUUGAAGAUCUAUAUUUUUGGGUGCUGUGUAGUCUAGACUAUAGUUGGUUAAAUUGCAAUGUCUCUUUGAUAAUUGAAACUUGAGGUCAAGUUUGUUAAAGGGGUAUGGAUUGUCAUGAUAUUUUACUCAUUUAGUCAUGUUAUGAUGUUUUUGGGUGCUGUUUAGUCUAGACUAUAGUUGGUUAAAUUGCAAUGUCUCCUUGAUAAUUGAAACUUGAGGUCAAGUUUGAGAGCUUUUGUUCACUGUCAAUGAAAAUAUCAGCAUUUUAAUUUCUUUCAUUUCUGCAUUUCUUUGCUUUUCUCUCUAGUUAGGGCUAAUACCCUAACACCACCAUCCGCGUCGCGUAGGACUUGAAUCCUUCCAAGGUCACCUCCUUGAUGUACAUAGCUGCGCUCACCGGAGAGAUGCGGGCGCUAAUCGGUGGCCGAUUUUGGAGAGAUUUAGGGUCGGUGGUUGGAUCGAAACCCUAGAAAUUUGAGCUUCUGGUUUUUGGUUUUGGGAACUUGAAAGUCUAAAAUGAAAUGGUUCGAAUUUCUUUUUGUUGUUUUCCGCUUUUUUGGGUGGGUUCGAAUUUUUAACCCUAGACAAAGGCGGGAAAAGACAGAUAUAUUUGGGCUUUAUCUAACAGUGUAUGAGCUUUAAACUCAUGAACGAUGUUGUUUUGUAACGCAGGAUUUCGAUUUUAAAUUCGCAGUUUUCCCAGUUUGAAAACUCAUUAAAAACGAUCGGGUGAAGAUUUUUCAAGUUCGUCUUAAAGAUCAUGAUUUACCGAUAUAAAGAAUUUGGUGAACAUGUAAGAAUAUGAGAUUUUUGUCAAAAAAAAAACGUGUGCUACAAUCCACAAUACAAUUUCAUAUGGAUAUCAUGAUUUCGAACAAUUUCUUGUUUUCUUAGAAAAAUCUCUGCAGUUGGUUCCUAUUGUAAAACUGGUGUUUAACUGAAGCAAUUUCUACGAUAUAGAAGAGUCAAAACUUCUUUUUCUUAGACAGACUGGUUCAGUACAACAUGGUACACUCGGCAUUGUACAUGUUUCUAUAGUCUGUAUGUAUGAAUAUCUACUCACCUCAGUUUCUCUUUUACAACACUAAAUGACUGCAUAUUUCUCUACAUACACAAGAAUCAAUAAUGCCAUUUUGGUCUUUCUUCCUCUUCCUUUUCGGUCAACUCCCGGUACUGAUACCACACUGCUCCAGACUUACCCACUGGGAUUGGAGACCUAACAAAUAUUUCGACUAGCUUGGGAACAUGCACAGCUAAAUGCAGUUCCCUGCAGUUUUUUCUGCAUUUGAAUCAGAACUUCUUAAUAAUCUGCAAAUAGGUUCAAUACUAGUCCAACCUAAGCCUGAUAUAGCCGCAUCACAUGCUGGCCUGCAUACAAGGAAAAGAGAAGAAUUCUCAUAUUGAUUAACUAACUAACUUUAUGGAAAUAUCAGAAUUGCGAUACUCAUAUGGAUGAUUUACCUUUGCACAUCUUCAACUUUUAUUUGCAAUUGACGCUGAGAGUCGAGACCUCUCCAUUCAUCUGCUCUUUCUUUCCCAGUUGGAGGUGUCAGUAAGACUCCAACGUGUUUCUGCAACAUGGUAAAAGGCACAUUACAAUCACACCAAUCAAUUUAAAGAGAAAAAUAUCACGCACACCUUUAAGGCCGGAAUGGUAUCACAUUUUCGUAGUGUCAGUAACAUAAAAGGGUUCACUUUAAUUGCUUUCAAAAUAUUUUAAAUGCUUCAUAAGUCAGCUGUACUUGGGAAAUAAGAAACUAUGAAUCUCAAGUGGGACCUUGAUUACCUGGUAAAAUUCAUCAGCCUCAUCAGUUGGUACCAUAUGAAUCUGAAGACUCUUUGGCCCAUAAAAUGUUAAACAUGUCUCAGGGAGAACCUGAAAUUACCAAUAUUUGAUUACUCAGGAAACACCGUAUAUGCAUCAGCCAGAUAAAGAUCGUACCUGAAGCUACAAGGCCAAACCAAACCUUUAAGACAUCUACUCUGAGAAGACCUCCCCAGAAUAUUAAAUAGCCAUUCAAAUCAUUGGAAUUGCCUUGCCUUGUUGUUCCACUUCCAGAAACCUGAGAAUUCUGGAGGGAUAAGAAACAGUCAACAACUCAAAGAUACCAAAGGAAAAAACAAGAGAAAGAAAAACAAUUAACUUACAGGCAAAGAUUGACCCCUAAGCCGACUUUGAGGAGCAAGGGAAGGUAGGUCUUCUGAAUGAACCACAGCGGCUUGCCUAUGAUGGAGAUGAACUCCAGGUGUGUCGUAUAAUUUCUGCAGAUAACAGAAUGUUACUGUACUAAACUCUGAAAGGCAAUGGUAAUAUACAGAUGCUAUAGCAUACCCCUCCUCCUAGGAAAGCGUUGAGUUGAAUUGAACCCAGGGUCGUUCCAGGGACAGCAGACUGUAUUGGUUUGUACUUUUGCGCUGAUGCAGCAACUGGAUCCUUUUCCGCCAUCAGUUCUGGUAUAAUGGUAAUACAGUAUUAACAAAAGUCAGUUCAAAAGAAGAAUAACUCGUUUAGAAAAAUAAAUCCCGACAUUUAUCUUUGUGAACAGAAUUGCUAUGAACUUCAUAGCAACCAAAGGCAACAAAACAUAUCAGAUGUCAACUAAUGAACUUACUCAGUUAAGCACCGAUAAAAGCUGAUUUCCCAACAUUUGUGGAGCCCUGUAGCAAAAGGUAAGCUAAACUAUCAGAUGCAAAAGCAUUUUUUAUAGGUCAAUCCAAGUAUGCACCAGCUAGAGGAUAAUCGAUACAGAAGGCAAAGCAAGAUAUGACAACUCUUUUGUUUUACUUCCUUUUACAAGCAUACUCAAAUAGAAAUCAGCAACAUGACUUGACUGGGCAUGAAAGAUUUUCAUGGAUAAAAUACCAGUAAAAAAGCAUGUGCUGAUUCAAAAUCUUAUUGAAGUUCCAUACAGUCAACAGGUUAAAAUCUCAAAUGUGAUUGAGAAUCAAAUCAAAUUCAUAGCAGUUCACAAGAAACCACACACUCCAAGAGCAAGGAUAAGUAAAAAAAAUUCAGGUUCUGAGAAGUGUUAAAUUCACUUGACAAAACCAAAUACUCAGCACUAAGUAAGUAAACUUCCAGAGUUCCCAUCAAGAAGCUCACCAUAACAUACACGUCCCGCCCCUGCACCAAAAAAUAACCAAAGAACUCAGUUUGAAGUUCCUGUAAAUGAUAGAUAUUCAUACUUAUUUCAUUCAACAGGAAGUACAAAUUUACAAUGUAUAAACCUAUUUCCUCUGUUGGCUAUAAUUAAAUAACUUAUAUCAAUGGCUUUAGUCAGAUCAAUGAAUUUCACACAUGAAGAUGCACAUACACUGAGAAGUAAAUACUUUUUUUUCCAUUUGAAUCUCUGAUGCAACUCCAGCUACUCCAACCAAAGACUUUGAACUCAUCAGAUGAAUGCUCAUAACACUGCAAAUAAGCCUCAAGGACACUCUUUUAAAAAGACACCAUAUAAAAUAAGUAAAAGCAAAGGCUAAGGAAACAAAUCUUACUUAAGCUUCUUCUUUACAGUGGCCUCUACAACCCCAUCACCAAUGCAAUUAAAAUCAGUCCCCUUGGGAAGUAAAUCAAUCUGUCAUUCGAAAAGUGCAAUUAGAAAGCUGCGUGCAUCAAUGUCAUGUUACAUAAGUUACAUAAGUACAAAUGAGAAGCUUAAUACCUUAGUAAUGACUAAUAUUAUGGGAUUUGCACCGGCCAGAUCACGCAUACCUUAGUAAUGAUAAUGCUAUACACAUAAACUGAUAUCAAUGGCUUAAACAAUGAACUGGACACAAGCAUACACAUAACUAACAAGUGCAUACCUUCUUUUCCUUUUGAAUCUCUGAUGCAACUCCAGCUAGCUACUCCAACCGAGGACUUUGAACUCAUCAGAUGAACGCUUAUAACACUGCAAACAAGCACCAAGGGAAACUCAUUUGGAUGGAUAAUAUAUAAAUAAGUACAAGCAAAGGCCAACGAAACUAAUCUUACUUAAGCUUCUUCUUUACAGCGGCCUCCAGUCCACCGCAACUCAAUCACCAAUACAAAUUAAAUCAGUCCCCCAACCUGUCAUUAGAAAGUCCAAUUAGAAAACUGCAUGAAUCAAUGCCACAUUACAUAAGUACCAAUGAGCUGCUUAAUACCUUAGUAAUCACUAAUAUUAUCAGAUUCGCACCAGCCAAAAAGCUACCAUUGAAGUCCACAAUAUCAAGUUAUCAACCAACAUAACCAUCUGCCUAGUUCAAAAUUUAGUCAGUAGAUUAAGAAAUGAAUUCGGUGUUGAUAGGUAACUAAAUUUAAAACAGAGGAAAGUUUGACAAGCUUCAAUAUGUUCCUUCACUUUUCAAACAUAUUUGAUAAUAUUAUCAUCAGUGCGGAUGUUGUCUGAAAUUACAACUAUUUACCUGUAAAGGACUCUAUAACCCAUACACGAGCUGCCCAUCAAUAUGUAGAGGACAGUCCCAAAUAAAAAUUUCAAGUCGCUCAAGUGAAAGAGGCAGGCCUUCCUCCACUGGAAGAUUUGCAAGCUUGGGACAGCCGGAGAUGUAAAGAUGUUCAAGAGAGGUGAGGAGUUGAAAGCCUUUGAUUUGAAAGCUUUUGUGGAGGAAAAGGAUGUGAUCAACAGUUUUGAGCAUUAGGAGACCUGUAGAUGGAAGAAAUAAAACGUUAGAUGUGGAAAACAGAGGAAAGUUUGACAAGCUUCAACAUGUUCCCUCGCUUUUCUACAUGUAUUUGAUAACAUUAUCAUCAGUGCGGAUGUUGUCUCAAAUUACAAGUGCGUACCUGGAAACCACUCCAUCGAGGAGUGUUGGUUUUCUCUUAUAUGAGUUCCAGAUUAAUUCGUACUUCAGGGAUGUGUGCUAUCUUGUGCCGGUAUCGUCCUUUGUAUCUCUGUUCAAGUAGAGGACAGUUGUAAAUAUCAAGUCGCACAAGUGAAAGAGGCAGGCCUUCCUCCACUGGAAGGGUUGUAAGCUUCGGACAGUUCCAGAUCCAAAGACGUUCAAGAGAGGUGAGGAAUUGAAAGCCCUUGCUCAGUUUCUUUAGAUUUGGGAAGUCUACAAUACUCAAAUCAACAAGAGAUCUGGGGAGCAGUAUCUCCGUCUCCUUUGAAUUCUCAGCCGCAGGUGGAAAUGACACCAGACCUCCAUCAUCUUCACCCCAUAGAUACAAUUCUCUCAAAGAGGCGAGUCUCUGCAACCCUUGAAACUCCAUCAGCGCCUUACAAUUCUUGAUCUUGUCAAUUGACAGUGAUGUUAGGUUGGUGGGGAAGGAAGUUGUAGUUGUCAAACCUUCAAAGUAAUCAAUUCUCAGAUCUUCAAGAUUACUGGUGUGCAUCAUGUCUCUCGCCAACUGUGCCACCUCCAAUUUAUCGCAAUUUCUGAUCCCUAUCAUUCUCGGCCACACAUUCAUUCUCGGCAACGAAACAAGACUUUGACAAUCAUAAACAAUUAAUGACUGAAGAUUGGUGAGGUGGCACAGUCCCUCGGGUAAGGAUUUCAGGUUUGGGCAGUUCUCGAUGUCAAUUUCUUCGAGUUGGCAGCUGUCAUCGAGGAACCUCUCAGUUAUUAACUCCAGCUGUCCACACCGCAGUAUCACAAGUUGUUUAAGAGACCCGGGUAAUUGACCUUUGCAUAAUAAGCACAUCGAAGAGGGACAAUUCCUUAUCCACAAACUCUCAAGACAAGAAGAAGAAGAACCGUUACCCACCUCCUCCUCUUUCUCUAUUAAUGACUUCAAAUUCCCACAAUUCCAGAUAUCUAUUCUUUUUAGGCUGGGAGGAAUCUGGUAUUUUGCAAAGUGCAACAGAGAUUCGCAGUCCUGAAUCACUAUGUCUUGGAGACAAGGUGGCAGACCAACAUCCGGAAAAGAAACAAGACUUGAACAUUCACUUAUGUGCAGCUCUUGAAGACAAGGUGGCAGACCAACAUCCGGAAAAGAAACAAGACUUGAACAUCCACUUAUGUGCAGCUCUUGAAGUGAUCUAAGGUGAUGCAAUCCUUCUGGUACCUUCACAAGGCUUCCACACUUGCUUAAUUCCAGACGUUCAAUAUUGCAAUCCAGGAUUUGCAAUUGCAACAACUGCUCUGCUUCAAUCCCUAGCUUUUCAACAAGGAUCGAGUUGUCUUCGAUAUACAGACGACUAAGAGAAAUCAAGUGUUGCAGUAAUCUAUCCUCGUUUUGAAAGCAACAUGUAAGCUCCUCACAACGAGUGAUCUUCAACUCUUUAACAUUUUUCAAGCUUUUCAUGAACGACUCUGUUUGGAAUCUCAAUUCUGAUACAUUUGAAUAUGUCAAACUCUCUAGUAACUCAAACUGAACUGUACUUGUGUCGUACACCACCAUCUUGCACUUUUCAAUGUUUGAUCCAUGAAGCUGUUUGUAUUUAGAUACUGAAACCACCAAUUCCUCACAUCCAUAUAUCUCAAGCUGUGCUAAUGAAUCAAGCUU